rnacentral:lncRNA from 1 species
GAGCUGACGGGGAAGUUGCCCCCCGAGUACCCCCUGGAGCCUGGAGAGAGACCCCAGCCCCCCCCACGCCGCCGGAGCGGGGCACCCCCCCGGGGACCCCCCCCUGAGGUAGGAGUGGGGACAUGGGGGGGGCGGGGCUGGGGGGUGGGGGGAGACCAGAACAUCCUUCUGGGGGUGUCCCCAUCCCAAAUCCCACCUGGGGGUGUCCCCUCAGGGCCCCCAGACCUCCAUGGUGGCCCCCACACCCUGUGUGUCCCCAUGGUGUGCCCUGGGUGGUCCCUGGUGGCCACUGGACCCCCCGUGGUGGCCCCCACACCCUUGGAGUCCCCAUGGUGUGCCCUGGGUGGUCCCUGGUUGCCGCCACACGCUGGGGGUCCCCGUGGUGUCCCUUUGUGGCCCCCGGACCCCCAUGGCAGCCCCCAGCCCCCCCCCACGGUGGCCCCCACUCCCUGUGUGUCCCCCACAGUGGCCCCUGCACCCCAACGGUGGCUGCCGUCCCCCCGUGUGUCACAUGGGGACCCCCACGUCCUGCGGGUCCCCACACGCUCUGGCGUGCCGGGCGCGGCGGGAGGCGCAGGCCCAGGUGCAGGUGCAGGCCCAGGUGCUGGAGGCCGCCCGGCGUUUGGCCUCGGUGCCGGGGUUGCCGCCCGAGCAGCGGCGCCGGCGCCAGCGGCUCCAGGCCGAGGCCGCCCAGAGGCUCCGGCAGCUCCGGGCACAGCUCGGACCCCCUGGACAGGAUGAGAACGGGUCCCUGUGUGACCUCCCCGCGCUGGAGAACGGUGAGCGAGGGGCUGGGAGGGCUACCUGGACACUUGGGUGACCCUGGGAGGGGGGAGGGGUACCUGGACACCUCGAGACCCCCAGGGGGUUUGUUCGAACACCUGGGUGACCCCUUGGAUCCCCCUGAAGAGGUUACCUGGACACCUGGUGGAUCCUCUCAGGAGGGAUUACCUGGAUGUUGGGGACCCCUGCCAGGGGUUUUCUGGACACCUGGACACCCCCGUGUGUCUCCCACAGGAGCCCUGCCCCCCCCGAAGCCCCCCCAGGGCGGACCCGGCCGCCCCUCCCCCCCCCGGGCUGGCUCCAGCAGCCCCGACCGCCGCCCCCCCGCCCUGGACCCCCGACGUCCCCCCCGGGCGCCGCAGCUCCCUCGCCAGCCCCGCCAGGUGCGUGAGCCCCCUAAAAAAAACCCUUCAUCCCCCCCCCCCCCCCCAAAAAAACCCCACCCCGCUGGGGGGGGGCCCUCCAGCCCCACUGAUGGGGUCCCCCCCUCCCCAGCCCGGCGCGGACCCUCCCCCGCAGCGCCUCCAGUUUCGAGGGUCGCAGCGUCCCGGCCACGCCCGUGCUGGCCCGGAGCCCCCGCGGGCCCCCCCUGUGCCGGUGAGGGGUCGGGGGGGGGGGGGGAUUUGGGGGUCGGGAAGCAGGGGAGGGGGGUGGGAAGACCCCAACCCUUUUUGUCCCACCUGGUUG